UUUUAUUAUGCUCUGUUGUAUAAUACUAUGUAAUAUCUUUUAUGGUCAUUCUGUCAUACCAAAAGUACUUUCUCAGUUUGUUUACCAAACACAUGUUAAAGUGCCAGCACUUUAGAAAUGUAGUUACCAAACAGUAAACAACUUUUUAUAAAAAUUCUACUUCAGAAAACUCUACUUUCAAAAGCUCUACUUCUAAAAGCUCUACUGCCAACAGCUCCUCCAGAAUAGGACCUUUGUUGGUGCGCAGUAGGACUAAAAAUGGAUCGGUUAUAGAUCGGAAUGUAUGAUCCAUAUCCGUAUCCAUAUUUUUCAACGAAUAUGAAUCAGAUAUUUACCAUAUCCAUAUUUGUUCUAAAAGGAUAUGGAUAUAAGUCAGGUAGUUAUAUUGUAUAUAUUCUCUAUACUAAUAUAGAUAUAAGUUGGAUAUUUUUUUGGAUGUAAAUCAAAUUUUAAGUAGAUUUAAAUAAUGAAAAUCAAUAGAAACGACAGUCGUAAAAGAUAGGUAUGAAAUCUAAAAUAGCAGUUGUACAUGAUGCACAACUAAUUAGUUAAGAGCAAGAAUCACCGAACUGGUAUCGGUAGGUGUACUGGUCGGCCGCCGGACCAGUUUGGUACCAGUUCAGACUAGUACAAACU
rnacentral:lncRNA from 1 species